UACGUAGGGUGCAAGCGUUAAUCGGAAUUACUGGGCGUAAAGCGUGCGCAGGCGGUUAUGUAAGACAGGUGUGAAAUCCCCGGGCUUAACCUGGGAACUGCGUCGGAUACUGGAUGGCUUGAAUCCGGGAGAGGGAUGCGGAAUUCCAGGUGUAGCGGUGAAAUGCGUAGAUAUCUGGAGGAACACCGGUGGCGAAGGCGGCAUCCUGGACCGGCAUUGACGCUGAUGAGCGAAAGCCAGGGGAGCAAAGCGGG
rnacentral:rRNA from 1 species